rnacentral:rRNA from 1 species
GCACCCGCGGUAAUUCCAGCACCAAUAGCGUAUAUUAAUGCUGCUGCUGUUAAAAAGCUCGUAGUUGGAUCCAGGGUUUUGGCUGUAGGUGGCCUUUUUUAGGCGUUGACGGAAUACUCUGGAUACGUCUAAGCUAGGAUCAAAACCAUCUACAAAAAGUCUGAGCUCUAUGAAGGUGGUAAUGGUGCCCUGCAAGUAGGCACCUUCAUUGGGGCUGAAAGCGAAUUACGCGUACACCAUACGCAUACGGGUCGACCACCGAAGUUACCGUGAACAAACCAGCGUGCCCAAAGCAGGCGUUGGCCUUGGAUGAUAAAGCAUGGAAUAACAAGGGAUCGAUUCUCUCGGUUCUUUUUGUUGGUUAUUAAACUGGGAAGAAGCAAUUAGGUUGAGGACCCUCACCCUCGAACCUUCGGUUCGUGAGUGAGACUUCGACUCAUGGGAUCAAUAGGGACUGCCGGGGUCGUACGUACUCCCACGUCAGAGGUGAAAUUCUUAGAUCGUGGGAAGACGAACUUCUGCGAAAGCAUUCGACAAGAAUGUCUUCAUUAAUCAAGAACGAGAGUGUGGGGAUCGAAGAUGAUCAGAUACCGUCGUAGUCCACUACUGUAAACGAUGCCGUCUCAGGAUCGAGAGGGUUCUUAAUGGCCCUCACGGCACUCUGAACGAGAAAUCAAAGAUUAUGGGUUCAGGGGGGAGUACAUUCGCAAGGCUGAAACUUAAAGGAAUUGACGGAAUGACACCACCAGGCGUGGAGUAUGCGGCUUAAUUUGACUCAACACGGGGAAUUUUACUAGGUCAGGACAAUGUAAGGAUUGACAGAUUGAGAGCUCUUUCUCGACUCUUCGUGUGGUGGUGCAUGGCCGCUCCUGGUUGGUGGAGUGAUUUGUCUGGUUGAUUCCGUUAACGAACGAGAUCUCGACCCUUAAAUAGGUAUGCCCGUCGACUUUCGAGGUAGCAAAGGUUCGCUGGCGCUCCUUUAGACAGGGCAACACUUCUUAAGGGGACUGUGUGCGUUCCAAGCACACGGAAGAGCGAGCCAAUAGCAGGUCUGUGAUGCUCCUAAAUGUCCUAGGCUGCACGCGCACUACACUGACGCAUUAAACGAGUCUGAUUGCCUUUCGGCAACCUGUCUUGAAGAGGAUGGGAAACCUUUUGAACUUGCGUCGUGAUGAG